CAGCCCAUCUGAUUCCCAUCCGUAAAACACAUCCCUCAAAUAUUGGGUUUCCUAAAACAAUUGGCCUCCACUCUUCUUUCCUUCCAACCCUUUCCAUUUUUGCUUUGUUUCUGCUUUGGAUGAUCAAAGGAUUCCAUCUCCUGUUGUUGUGGAUCAUUUAAUAUUAUGCUGUGAGAUUCUUGCAAAGUUGGAUUUCAUCUAUCGUUAGUAAGUGUGCCCUUUUCAGCUCUACUCCCUUCCCCUUUAUUUUUGCUUCUGACAUCUUUGUUCAUAGCUGAUUUCUCCGGUACAAUGAACUCAGUUCAUUUCUCCAGGUGGUGCUCGCCUGGGGUGCCUUGGAAGCUGCAUUCCGCCACUUCCAACUGGGAAUAAGUGUCUCCUCCAGGUUCACUCGCUUGAACCUUGUAACCCCCAAAUUGCUGAGUCCUUGUUGUUUUUAGCUGAGAUAGCCAUGUCUAUUUAGCAUUUCACAUCUUUUAUCACCUCUGUGGCUUUUGUAAAUUCUGUUAUUGUGAAUAAACUUUAUAUUGUAGCCUCCCCUUCCCCAUUAUCUCCUUAAGGAAGAUAUCCUUAAAUAUGGGAUUUGACUUUUAUCACUGUUUAAGAUUCUCCUUCCGUGUGGUUCAAGGCUUUUGAAAUCUUCAUAUCUGCAAGUCCCCUGUUCUAUUGCUUUGUUUGCUAGGUAGUCAGCAAGUUGAUUUCCCUCCCUCAAAAUGUGUUGAACUGUAUAUUGUUUAUCUUGUAAGCAUGUUUUGAUUUCUUCCACAAUAUCUGAAAGUGACCAUGGGGUGACCCAUUUUCCUUUUAGCACUUCGCACAUUAACAUAGAAUCAGUUUGAAUAAUGACCUGAUUAUAUUGAGAGGUCUUGCAAUGUUUGCUGGCUUCUAAAAUUGCUACUGCUUCUGCCAUAGUACUUGUUGUAUUUUCAAUCUUGGCACCUUCUGCAAAUAUAAUGUCUCCAUUCUCAUCUCUUAGACAGUAGGCAUAUGAACUCAAUCCAUAACAUCCUUUAGCUGCACCAUCCGUGUUAUAUUUGAUCCAUCCAGCCGGUGGGCAUUCCCAUUUAACCUGAACGACCUUAAUUUUAGGCUUAUAUUCCUCUAGUUCCUUAAGUAUUUCUGGCCAGCUUCCUCCUCUCAUGGUAGGCCUCUUCACUUUAGCUAACAUAUUCAAGUGCCUGGUCACAUUGUGAAUUAUUCUGGGAAGUGAAGUGCUUUUUCCUUCAUGCUUCUGUUUGUUCCUUCUUUUCCACAGUUCCCAAAUUAUAAAUCAUGGAAUAGCUCUAUAAUAAGGUCUCAUAUCUGUCUUAAUGUUUGCACCCCCACCAUAACAUUAUAACUUCCCUUAGUUGCAAUCCUGUAAUGUUUAGACCUGCAAAAAGAACAAAAGUAGGACCAAGUCCUGUUAGCAAUUUCUGAUUUUCGAAACACAUGUGAUAGUGUUUCUUGAUCAGGUUUAUCACAACACCAGCAUCUUGAAGGUCCUUCAAGGCCCCACCUUCUCAGCCUAUCAUCCAUAGGGAUUUUGAACUUCCACAACCUCCACAUCAUAAAGGCUACUUUGAAAGGAGUCCCCUUAGUCUAAAUCCACCUAUGUAUUAUAUUUGGUUCCUCCUUGUGCCUUAUUUAGUUCCAUGCUUUUUUGACUGAGAAAACACCCCUCGUAUCUAACAUCCAACAAGGUUUGUCAUCUGUGUUACCUUUAGGGGGCUUGGUUUGGCUUAUGAUGUGUUCAACAUAUUCUGCUGGCAGUGUUUCAUUCAAUAAAUCCAUAUCCCAUUCCCCAUUUUUUGUUAGAUCCCUAACUACUUCAUACCUUUCAUCCCAUGCAAAGUUUUCCCCCGUAAUUGUAUACAGGUCCCCCAGUCCUGUCCAGUUAUCGUGCCAUAGUGAAGCUGAUCCAUUCUUAGUUUGCCAGAGUAUUUGAUGCUGAUUAGAUCUCUUGCUUGUAGCAUUUUCUUCCACACUUGUGAACCUCCUCCUCCUACUUUCCACAUGACCAGAUUCUGAUUCUUUGACUUGCAAUAUUUGUUUCUCAUGUAUUCACUCUAUAAAGACUUCUUUGUUCUAUAAUUCCACCAAAGCUUACAAAACAAAGCCAUUGAAAUAUCAUGCAUUAGUCUAAAACCUAUCCCUCCUUCCUGCUCUGGUAGACAUAGGUUUCCCCAUUUACUCCAAUGUCUGCCUCUUCCUCCUACGCAACUACUCCAAAAGAAUUGAGCCAUCAUUUUUUGCACAUCAGUUAAGACAUUGCUGGGAGGAUUCAUGACUGAUAAACAAUGUAUAGGAAUACUCUGUAGUACAUGUUUAAUUAGAACUGCUCGUCCCCCAUAAGAUAAUAACUUACCUUUCCAUCCUUGUAUUUUAGCUCCUAUCCUUUGAAUCAACUGUUUAUAGUACGUUUUUUGCUUUCUCUUGUAAAAGAUAGGGCAGCCUAAAUACGUAAAAGGAAAUUCUUUCCUUAGGAUUCCUGUUGCUACUUCUGCUACCACUGAUUCUCCUCUGUUGACACUAUGGUGCAAGUAGAUUGCACUUUUGUCUUUAUUCACCUUUUGUCCAGAUAUCUCUUCAUACUUCUGCAAUGUUUCGCUGACCAUUUUCAUUGUGCCUACCUCCGCUUUACAUAAUAUGAUCAUAUCGUCCGCAAACGCUAAAUGAUUUAGCUUCAAGCUUCCUCUUGGCAUACCAAAUCUUUUAAACUCUUUCUUUAUCAUUAGGGCGUUUAGGGCUCUAGACAUCACUUCUGCUGCCAAUAUAAAAAGAGUGGGUGAUAAAGGGUCACCCUGUUUGAGACCUCUUGAGGAUUUGAAAAAACCUUUCGGCUGUCCAUUUAGCAAAACUGAGUACCAGUUGUUGCUAAUCAGUCUAAACACCAUAUCAAUUAUUCUAUCCCCAAAUCCCAGUCUCCUCAUCACCUUUGUUAGAAAAAGCCACUCAACUCUGUCAUAAGCUUUCAUCAUAUCCAACUUAAUAACUAAAUUAGGUGGUGUUCCCCUUUUUCUUAUUUCUGAAAUUAUUUCUUGAACCAGUAAUACAUUCUCUGCUAUACUUCUCCCUUGUACAAAUCCUGCUUGUUCCGGAGAGAUGAUUUGAGGGAGUACUUCUUUAAUUCUCUCAUGGAUAAUUCAUGAAAAAAUUUUGUUCACAAAAUUACUCAGAGAAAUAGGCCUCAAAUCUGAAAAUGUACUAAACAACAUCUUCUUUGGAAUAAGGACUAGAUUUGUGUGUGUGAUGUACCUAGGUAGUUCAGCUCCACAGAAAAAAGCUAUAGUCAUUUUAUGAAUGUCAUUCCCAAUGAUUUCCCAAGUACUUUGAUAGAAGGCCCCUGUCAUCCCAUCUGGUCCUCCUGCACUAUUUUGAUUUAGCCCCAUAACCGCUUUUUUGACCUCUUCUAUCGUUGGCACUCUCUGCAUCUCCUCAUUCCUAUCUCCACUUACUACUUGUGGUAGUUCAUUCAGCAUUUCAUAAUCUCCACUGGCCUCUAGCAUUUUGAAUUGUUUGGUAUAAAAUUCCACUGCUGCUCCUGCUAUAUCCUCUUGAUCCUCUAUCCACUCCCCUUCCUCACUUUGAAUUCUGUUUACAUGCAGCCUAUUUCUUCUACCUUUCACAAUGGUAUGGAAAAAAUUUGUAUUUCUCUCUCCAUCCUUAAACCACUCCAUUCCAGCUUUUUGUUUCCAGAAUUCUUCUUCUCUAUGAAGUUGUUUUUUUAAUGCUGCCUGUGCUUUAUGUAGCGUUUCCCGAUUUAAUCCUGUUGGAUUUGCUUCAAAUAUUAUCUUUUUUACUUUAAUGAUCUCUUCUAAAGUAGCUAUCUCUUGAAAAAUGUUGCCAAAGGUCUCUUUACUCCACUGCGUUAAUGCUCGCUUGACCCUUUUUAGUUUAUGAUGAAAUACACUAAACGGAUCCCCUUCAAAGUCCGCUUUCCAAUGGUCUUGCACUACUCCCUUGAAAGAUUCUUCCUGUAUCCAGAAAUUCAAAAAUCUGAAUGGUUUACUAACUCUCUCGUUGGUCACUUUGAAUGAGAUCAAUAAUGGCGUAUGAUCGGACCCACUCCUUAUGAGGUGUUCAAUUUCUACUACUGGAAAUAUAUUAUGUAAUUUAUCGUUACACAACACUCUAUCCAGUCUUUUAAAAAUGCAUUCUUCAUCAGUUCUACCAUUCCACCACGUGUACUUGCUUCCUUUGAAUCCCUUAUCCUCCAAGUUGCACAUGUUUAUACAGUGGUUAAAGUCUCUACUUUCUGAGUCUGUCACUGGUCUUCCCCUUAGUUUUUCCUCUUCAUUGCUAAUAACAUUAAAAUCGCCUCCUACCAUCCAUGGUAUCGUGCUAUUAUUUGCCAUCUCAUACAUCGACUCCCACAGUUGUAGUCUUUCUAGUUGUGUGCAUUUAGCAUAUACCAAAGAUAUUAGAACUUCAAUGCCCAAUCCUUGAUUCUUCAAUUUGACAGUUAACAUCUGCUCUUCAUCUCUAAUCAGUUCGAUUUCCAUAAUCUCAUCAAUAAAAGCCCAUAUCUUGCCAUUAGUACUAGCUACUGCCUGUUUCUUACCCAAUCUUCUUGUAAACUCCUCUAGUCCUUGAUUAUCUUCAAAAGGUUCCAUUAAUCCAAUGAAAUAAAAUUGAUAUCUCUUAUGGAGAUUUAUAAGUCUUGUAAACGCUUUUUGAGUGUUUACUGACCUAAUAUUCCAUAUUAAAGCCUUCAUUGAUAUUUGGAAUUUUUGACAAUCGUUCUCUUCGAUUGUCUAGAUGCUGCUUGAGCCUUUGAAAGAUUUUCUUCACUUUGUUCCCUUUGUUUUGUAUAUUUUCCUUUGAGCUUCCCUGUAUGUUUAGGCGAUAAAUCACCUUCCACUGCCAUUUGACUUAUAUUUUGGGAUAAGUCGUCCUUCUCUACUUCCCUUACACUUUGUUCUGAAAGCUGCUGUAAUUCCUUCUUUCCUUCUUCUCUCCCCUGUUCAUCUUCCAUUUGAAAAGCCAGUGGUAAUAUUUCCUCAAUACUCACUUCUGCCACCACUAUAGUACCUUCAUUGAUUUCAAUAUCUCCACUUCCCUCCAUUAGCUUUUCUUCCGCCUUUUCUUUAUCUGCUUCUUUCACUUGCAUUCCUUGCUUACCCUCUGCCUCAAUUUUCUUACCCAUGUCCUCUUUGUGAAUCUCCUUCAUUUCCCCUUUGUCGUUUUUCUCCUUGUGGACAAAUGUUUUGUUCACCCACUCUUUAGUACUGUCUUUUUCCCUUGUAUCUUCAUUGUUAUUUUCUAUAUCUAUUACUUCUGUGUCCCUUAGUGCUUCAAAAUUAUUUUUAUCCUGAUAGUCGAUCUCCCCUUCUAUAUGCCCGUAUUUGUCCCUCUUGUACUUAUUCCUUCUCCUUACCAUCCAUUCUUGUCUAUUUUGCCUGUUUCCUACCACUUUCCCACUAGUUAAUGUUCUUCUUUGAUCUGCUGCAGUACCCAUCCUGUUUUGCAUGCUAUCUUGUCUUUCAUGUUGCCUUACUUCUUCACUCUUUACUUCAUACAACUCUGGGUGAAUUGUCCAGCAACUUUGUUCGUCAUGGCCUUGUAAACAACAUUCUUUGCAAUAUUUAGGCAUGUGAUCAUAUUGCACUUUAAUCCACUUGGAUUUUGUCACUCCUGUAACAUCAUCUUCUUCAUUGAUUUUUACUCUCUGGGGUAACUUUGCAGUCAAAUCCACCUCAACUUUUACUCUAGCACAACUUGGUCUUGUCUAAUUCUUUGUUGCCAUGUCCACUGUUAGGGGUCUGCGUACUGCACUUGCUAUUGAGAAGAUAGCCUCCUUAGCAAAAAAAUUUGGUGGUAGAUCUGGGAAUGAUAUCCAUGCCACUCCAAUCGUUGUUUCUACAUCAGGUUCGAACCAUGGAUCCCAUUUAAGGGUACGCAUUUGCCAGUAAUUCUCCUUCACAUUAAUAUAAAACGCUGCUGACGAUAAAACAUGCACAUAAUCCUCGAUCAUUGUAAGUCUGAUCAGUAUGUGCCUUGUAUCCAGAACUCCUAUCGAGCAAUCACCUUUGAUACCACACUGACUCGGGAUCGCCUUCCUCAGUUCUGCAAUAUCUGGUUUGCCAUACGAAAAUUUCCCUAUAAUUGCAAAUUGCAGGUUUUCCUUCAUGAUUAGCAAUCUAACUUCGGACGUCUUCCAUGUAAUGCUUGGUUCCCCUUGUAGAAUUAUCACUGGUUUAGUCGGUAUCACUGGGAUUUGAUGCAUUACAAUUUUGGGUUUAAGCAGGUUGACAUAUUGGAUCUUGUUUGGAUCUGGAUGGGUGGUUUGGUUUUCCGUGAUGAUUGUUUUAGUUAGAGGUGGGAAAUCCUCCGGUGGGAGGCUCCCACCGAUGGUGUUGACUGUCAUGUGGCCGGCGCUUUUCGUAAGGUCCCUCGUGGUCCUUCAAUAACACUAUUUUUCAUUUUUACUCUUAUUAUUGAUAUUUUGUUAUUAUAAUCUCGACAAUCAUCAGUUAUCACUGUUACUUCAUUUCAUGAUCAUCUUAAUAUAAUUAAUAUCGUUCUAAUCGUUUCUUUAAA
rnacentral:lncRNA from 1 species